GUUAAAAUUAAAUUAAAAUUUGGGACACCCCAAAAAGUUAUAAAAGGUUUAUCUGGGAUUAUCUUGGCCAAUUCGUUAUCUUUUUUUUAGCAUAUGCCAAAUCUUCUGACAGUCUAAGUACGGAUUUAUUUUCAAAACCCAAUGACUCUAAUAGCCUGAAGUUUUCAUCCUUUUGAACAGCUUCGUUCCAUCCCAUACAGUCAAUUUCUUAGAGUUCACAGAAUCGUCAGUAAUGAAACACUGUUGGACAUAACGCCUUACACAUAUGUCACAGAAUUUCAUUGAGAUAGGUUACAACCCACGACUUCUUCAGAUUUCCAAACAAAAAGUGGAAGCUAUGAACAGAGAAGGCUUGCUCUCCUCCACACCCAAGACCAAAUCCAAUAGAAUUCCAUACACAAGUAUAUACUCACCACUUUCUUCCCAAAUUCAGGACAUUGUAUGUAAAAAUUGGCAUAUUUUGCAGCUUGAUAGGCAGAUUGGCCAUCUGUUCACAGAUCCAUCUAUAUUCACACUUAAGAGGAACAUGGUAGUUAACGCAGACAGCUUUACACCAAGUAAACAAACAUUUUUGUCAAAACCCACUUAUGAUACUUACCCCUGCCUUUCAUGCAAAAAAGGCACAUGGAUCAUCAAGAG